CUUCUACACAUCCAUGCACACAUUGGUGCUUCCACCCCCCUCCACAGCCCAAGCCAUUGACAAGACACCUAGCUUGAGACCCAAUCUCUUGUAUCAAGCUCCUCUGACCUACUGGUAGGACUCCUUGGAUGGAAGGACUGAUUUCAGACAAGGCACACAUGGAAGAGUGUACUAAUUGCUUCUGCAGAUGGGACAGUUGAGAGCAUUGCCAGUCUGGAAGAGGACCUGAAUGUCACACAGGGUGGAUGGAGCAACCUUGAGGAUUGUUUACAAGAAGUGGUGUGAGAUCUUGCAACUCAGUGUCUUAUGUUUCUGAAGAGCAGAAUGUAUGAGGAGGAAUGUGUUGGGUCAAGAUGUCUCAAAGAACAAGUCCAACACCUUUAAACUGGAAGGAGCAGCUUUUCCAAUUCUCUGUGGCUUUCAGCUGCUGUUCCUGCCUGUUCUCUGCCUCUGAAGAUAUCGAACACUGGAGCUGCUUCGAUUCCUGCCCCAGCUGCAG